GAUGAACGCUGGCGGCGUGCCUAAUGCAUGCAAGUCGAGCGAAUGGAUUAAGAGCUUGCUCUUAUGAAGUUAGCGGCGGACGGGUGAGUAACACGUGGGUAACCUGCCCAUAAGACUGGGAUAACUCCGGGAAACCGGGGCUAAUACCGGAUAACAUUUUGAACCGCAUGGUUCGAAAUUGAAAGGCGGCUUCGGCUGUCACUUAUGGAUGGACCCGCGUCGCAUUAGCUAGUUGGUGAGGUAACGGCUCACCAAGGCAACGAUGCGUAGCAGACCUGAGAGGGUGAUCGGCCACACUGGGACUGAGACACGGCCCAGACUCCUACGGGAGGCAGCAGUAGGGAAUCUUCCGCAAUGGACGAAAGUCUGACGGAGCAACGCCGCGUGAGUGAUGAAAGCUUUCGGGUCGUAAAACUCUGUUGUUAGGGAAGAACAAGUGCUAGUUGAAUAAGCUGGCACCUCGACGGUACCUAACCAGAAAACCACGGCUAACUACGUGCCAGCCGCCGCGGUAA
rnacentral:rRNA from 1 species